rnacentral:ncRNA from 1 species
GUUCAAACGGUAAGAUGAGUAAAUUGGCAAAUUGAUUUCUAGAGAGUUACUGAGUCGCUGAAAGGCAAUAAUCAUAAGCAGUUGAAGAUGGUCUUACUGAGUAAUUCGAUUACUGAGUUGCAGUAAAACAAUUAAGUAGUCGCGGGUACUUCCGAUAACAAGUCAGGGUAUGGUCAAAGUACCUACUGAGGAAUAGUUUGUAAAGACUAUUCAAAUUAAGGUGGUAACACGAAAACAUUUUCGUCCUUAGC